UAUCUAUGGCAUCACAAUUGUCAGAAGCAGAAGAGCGCGAGCGGGGUUUCAAUGGCAGGGGGCGUUGGAAUCAAGUUCGGUCUCUUACAGAUGCCAAAAUUUUGAUGAAUCAUUUGUUCAACUUAGCUUCUUCCUCCAGGUGCCUGUUACGAGAUAAAGAAGUUGCAUACAGAGAGAAGGAUUUGGAAAUAAGAGAUUUGAAGGAAAAAGUUGUAAGCCUCAGUAGUUCGCUCAGGAAGUUGGAGAAUAAGAAUGCUCAACUUAUGCAUCAGAACUCAGCGUUGAAGAAAUCUGAAAAUGGACACAAGUA